UGUAGCAAGGGUAGAUUUCCCUGUCUGUGGGCUAAUGUGCUCCUCCCCACGCUGCAUGCCGCGAAAAUUAUAAAAAAAAAGCUGUGACGUUUCCGGUGAGGCGGUGAAAUUUUUUGACAGUGACAGACAGACAAGAAAAUCAAGCGCCAGACGAGCCAACAAAGCAUUUUUGUCCAAUUUUUAUUGAAGAAAGAAGAAUCGAAGUUAUCCCCUGAAAAAUAUACUAAAGAGGAGCUUUACACUGUUCAAGGACAAGCAAUCGCAUUAUUCUCUUUAACGUGGUGAAACGUUCUAGUAAUCACAAUGCCGGCUAGCAACAUCGAUUUGUACCGAAUGCAAGACGCCCGAAAUAAUUUUGACGCCAUGCGACCUGCUCCUGUUUGCACUGAUGCCAAUCAUUAUAUGGGCCAAUGUCAGCAGAACAUACAUAUAUCAACAAAUUGUUACUACGGUUAUCACGAUCCAAAGGUAUCGGAAAAUGUCCACGUAAAUACCGAUUGCGAAAUGUUAGAAGAACCGCAUGGUAACAACAUAGCGUCACCGCCACAAACACAGACGAUACAACCAAACACAAGAAAACGGAGUGCAGAUGACACCGAAAUGCCGCAAAAUAAACGUUUUCGAGAAGAGGGUAUGGUGCCGUCGCCUUCAACCUACAAUCCAUGUUUACUACGUCCAACCCACAACAAUCCAGAUAUAUCUCGUUGUCUCAUGGUCCAUAUGAUAUAGUCUCUGAACUUAUUGGCAAAGUAAUAAAUUACUUAAAUAAAAAAAUCUAUUACUAGAUUUUUUCUUCACUGAGCAAUUUCCAUUUUAUCUACAGAAGUACAAAAAGAGAAAACCAAUGCACCUGAGACAACCGAGAUCAAGAAUUCAAACAAGAGUAUUGAAGAUGCGCUGGAGUCGCUGUACUGGAACACACAUGGCGGGAACAUUUAUCAAUUCCUACAGUGUCUUUGACGAAAUAUAUUUCAUGUAAUAGUUUAAGAAAAAUGUGAUCAAGUGCCACUGACUUUAUGGGACACUAAAACGUGAAAAUGUGACUAAAUUUUAUGAGUAGUUAAGGUUAACAAAGUUUUUUGAUUAUAAGGGUUUGCUAAUAAACAUCUAUGUAGGAA